ensembl:lncRNA
CUGCACUGGAAUUUAUGUUGAUACAGGUAUUAAAGUAUUCCUUCUGGAGAUAAAAUUAUAAUGCUAGAAAAAGUUUUGUGAGACUAGGAAAAAAAAAAAAAAAAGAAACGGAAACCACUCGGUACAGUGUCUGGAGUUUGGCGGACUGCCCAGGCUAUAAUCUAAUCUAUGAAGGUCACACCAACACCAGCAAUGCCUUGUAGUCUCACAGUCUGGCUUAAAGAAAUCCUUUUUUCCUACUGACGUUAAAAGCUUCAGACUACUGCCUGCAUCCUCCACCAAAAAUUUGUCAUGGAGUUAUCUAGAUAGAUCUGUGCCCGUGACAGGGGGGCAGGAGGCUCGCGCCCCCCCACUCCCGCCCCCCCCC